AUCUAGCUGCCGAGUCCUAGAUAGGACGAAACGUGCGUCCUGGAU
rfam:Schistosoma mattheei strain Denwood, Zambia genome assembly, scaffold: SMTD_scaffold0000401